AUUGAACGCUGGCGGCAGGCUUAACACAUGCAAGUCGAACGAGUGGCGGACGGGUUAGUAAUGCUUCGGACUCUAGCUUAUGGAGGGGAAUCACUACGGGACACUGUAGCUAAUACCGCGUACCAUAGGAUGAGUCCCAGUGGGAUUAGGUAGUUGGUGGGGUAAAGGCUCACCAAGCCGACGAUCUCUAGCUGGUCUGAGAGGAUGACCAGCCACACUGGAACUGAGACACGGCCCAGACUCCUACGGGAGGCAGCAGUGGGGAAUAUUGGGCAAUGGGCGAAAGCUGACGCAGCCAUGCCGCGUGAGUGAAGAAGGCCUUCGGGUUGUAAAGCUCUUUCGGUAGCGAGGCGUUAACUACAGAAGAAGCACCGGCUAACUCCGUGCCAGCAGCCGCGGUAAUAC
rnacentral:rRNA from 1 species